UACGUAGGGUGCAAGCGUUAAUCGGAAUUACUGGGCGUAAAGCGUGCGCAGGCGGUUAUUUAAGACAGUUGUGAAAUCCCCGGGCUUAACCUGGGAACCGCAUUUGUGACUGCAUAGCUGGAGUACUGGAGAGGGGGAUGGAAUUCCGCGUGUAGCAGUGAAAUGCGUAGAUAUGCGGAGGAACACCGAUGGCGAAGGCAGUCCCCUGGGCCUGUACUGACGCUCAUGCACGAAAGCGUGGGGAGCAAACAGG
rnacentral:rRNA from 1 species